rnacentral:rRNA from 1 species
GACGAACGCUGGCGGCGUGCCUAAUACAUGCAAGUAGGACGCAGUUGCGAACGGGUGCGUAACGCGUAGGUAACUACCUAUUAGAGGGGGAUAACUAUUGGAAACGAUAGCUAAUACCGCAUACUAGUAGAUGGACCUGCGUUGUAUUAGCUAGUAGGUAGGGGAAUGGCCUACCUAGGCAACGAUACAUAGCCGAGCUGAGAGAGGGAUCGGCCACACUGGGGCAGGGACACAGCCCAGACUCCUACGGGGGGGAGCAGUGGGGGAUCUUCGGCAAUAGGGGGAAACCUGACCGGGCAACGCCGCGUGAGUGAAGAAGGUUUUCGGAUCGUAAAGCGCUGUUGUUGAAGAAGCGGUACUUAACCAGAGAGGGACGGCUAACUACGUGCCAGCAGCCGCGGUAAUACC